rnacentral:rRNA from 1 species
CAAAAACAUGUCUUUUUGAAAAUAAUUUAAAGUCUAAUCUGCCCACUGAUAUAAUUAUUAAAGGGCUGCAGUAUAUUGACUGUACAAAGGUAGCAUAAUCAUUAGUCUUUUAAUUGAAGACUUGUAUGAAAGAUUUGAUGAAAUAUAAACUGUCUCUAAUUUAUUAAAUAAAAUUUAAUUUUUUAGUUAAAAAGCUAAAAUAAAAUUAAAAGACGAGAAGACCCUAUAGAGUUUUAUAAUUGAAUUAUUUAAUAUUAAAUAUAUAAAUAUUAAAUUAAAAUUAAUUUAAUUAUUUUAUUGGGGUGAUAGAAAAAUUAAAAAAACUUUUUUUAAAUAAUAAACAUAAAUAAGUGAAUAAAUGAUCCAUUAAAUAAUGAUUAUAAGAAAAAAUUACCUUAGGGAUAACAGCGUAAUAUUUUUUUUUAGUACAAAUAAAAAAAAAAGUUUGCGACCUCGAUGUUGGAUUAAGAUAAAAUUUAAAUGCAAAAGUUUAAAAUUUUGAUCUGUUCGAUCAUUAAAAUCUUACAUGAUCUGA